rnacentral:rRNA from 1 species
GACGAACGCUGGCGGCGUGCCUAACACAUGCAAGUCGAGCGAGUAGAUUUCCUUCGGGAAUGAAGCUAGCGGCGGACGGGCGAGUAACACGUGGGCAACCUGCCUCAUAGAGGGGAAUAGCCUCCCGAAAGGGAGAUUAAUACCGCAUAAGAUUGUAGCUUCGCAUGAAGUAGCAAUUAAAGGAGCAAUCCGCUAUGAGAUGGGCCCGCGGCGCAUUAGCUAGUUGGUGAGGUAACGGCUCACCAAGGCGACGAUGCGUAGCCGACCUGAGAGGGUGAUCGGCCACAUUGGGACUGAGACACGGCCCAGACUCCUACGGGAGGCAGCAGUGGGGAAUAUUGCACAAUGGGGGAAACCCUGAUGCAGCAACGCCGCGUGAGUGAUGACGGCCUUCGGGUUGUAAAGCUCUGUCUUCAGGGACGAUAAUGACGGUACCUGAGGAGGAAGCCACGGCUAACUACGUGCCAGCCGCCGCGGUAAGAC